CAAAUUACUAAAAUAAAAAUCACUUAUUUCUAUUAUCAUUUUAGAGUCUAAAUGUUUAGUUUUCUUCAAUCAAAUAUGUCUUUAAUUUAAGAAAAUAAAUUUUAUCGUAUGCUAGGAAUGCAUGCACGGUAGUUGACAGCAUCUGCAUGAGAUAUGUUUGAAUAAGAUAAUAACCCAUUGCCCUCGGAAAGGUAAGAUGAUAAUUUCUCCUGCAGAUGACCCUUUGAUCAUUCAUAUCUAUUAAAAUGAAGGCAUCAGCGUCUGUCUACCACGUGUUUAUUUUCUCCGUCCGUUAUGUGCUUGGAAAGAAAUAAAAAAACGAUGGUAUUCCAGAGAGUCCAAAGGGAAAAGAAGAGAAGAGAUCAUUGAAUCUGAAUUGAAAGGGAUCGAGAAGGAGUGGUCCGCGAUGGUGAUGUCAAUGGCGAGAUUGGGGCUCCGAGCGGCGGACACCACCGCCUUUCGUGGAGGAGUGAAGAGCGGCUCCUGUCCUGUUAUUCGCAACAAGUAGAGCUUCUCCGCCGCGAUAUCCAUGUCGAGAUCGGGGCUUCGAGCGACGACUGUCUUUCAUAGAGGUGCGAAGAGCCGCUCCCAUCCUGUUAUUCCCAACAAGCAAAGCUUCUCCGCCUCCGCUUACCAUGACGAUGCCUAUGAGACCGUGAAAUGGGAGAAGAUUACAUACGCUGGAAUUGUAACCUCACCAUUUUGUCCAUCUAUAACCUCUCUACGGGCUAUCCUCACCAUUCUAACCCCCCAAUAGUGAUUUUUCUGAUCAUUUUUAUCCUAAUUUAGUCUGCUAUGUGAAAGUUUUUUUUUUUUGCUGUAAUUUGUAUGCAUAUCUGCAUAUAAUUCUGAUAUUUUUUGUAUAAUUUAUUUUGAUUAUAUUAUAAAAAUUUAUUUUUGGU